UUGAAACGAUACAGAGAAGAUUAGCAUGAAACUAUACAGAGAAGAUUAGCAUGACCCCUGAGCAAGGAUGACACACACACAUAUAUAUUUAUUUAUUUAU
rnacentral:snRNA from 1 species